rnacentral:lncRNA from 1 species
UUACAAUUUGAAUUUGACUAUAUUUUUCUACUUGAAACUUUUCCAAUAGAUUGUUCUAUUAUUUAGGAUAAAGAUGUAUUCUGACACAUUCUUGCUAUUAUUAUGUCCAACUAAAAACUAGAGUCAUACUCCAUAAAUUUUAAGUUAGAUUCUCCAUAACUGAGUCAUCGGUCCUUAGUAUUUCUUAAAUACUUAAGAAUGACAUUCCAGUGAUUCUCAUCCGGAUCUUGCAGGUAUCCACUCACUAUCCUAGUAAGUAUACCAUAUCCAGUUCUCAUACAUGGUAUACAUAAUAAAAUAAAUUCUACUCAUAAACAUCCUAUGUAUGUUGGACUUGAAAAAUUCAAGUAGUCUCUUAGAUCUAUCUCUAUAGAUCAUCAUCCCUAGGAUGAGAGAUGCUUUUCUUAAGUCCUUUAUGGAAAAUUAUGAUAAUAGCAAAAUCUUUAUUCUCUAUAAUAUAAGAAAUAUCAUUCUCUAUUAAGAGAAUUUCAUUCACAUACAAAAUAAUAAAUAUGCUCAUAGAACUA